rnacentral:rRNA from 1 species
UGCGUAGGCGGAAUAUUAAGUCAGUGGUGAAAUCCUGCGGCUCAACCGUAGAACUGCCAUUGAUACUGAUAUUCUUGAAUGUAGUUGAGGUAGGCGGAAUGUGUAAUGUAGCGGUGAAAUGCUUAGAUAUUACACAGAACACCGAUUGCGAAGGCAGCUUAUUAAACUAUGAUUGACGCUGAGGCACGAAAGCGUGGGGAGCGAACAGGAUUAGAUACCCUGGUAGUCC